UAGUCAUGUUCAUGGAGGAGUGUGUGUA
rnacentral:piRNA from 1 species